CAGGCCAACGUGAAGCAGGAAGCAUAUGCUGUCAUCAUCGAGCUUGAUGGAACUAUAGGCUGGUCACCAGAGCUCACUGCAACUGUAGGGGUGGUGUUGAAGGCCACUGCAAGCAUGCAGCAGCAGUUGUAGCUUUUGUCAACAGUGAAGAGUCAGCAAAACUUCAGCAAUCGCCGAAGUUUUGCGGUACGUCGGCGGAAAAACAGCAGGAGCGUACGAGGGAGAAGCUGAAUCCGUCGAUGACUUUCCGCCAACAAAAUGUACACUGCAGACCCGA
rnacentral:lncRNA from 1 species